rnacentral:rRNA from 1 species
AAAAUUAGAGUGUUCAAAGCAGGCAGAUCCAAUUUUCUGCCACCGAAUACAUUAGCAUGGGAUAAUGGAAUAGGACCCUGUCCUCCUAUUUUCAGUUGGUUUUGGCAGCGCGAGGACUAGGGUAAUGAUUAAUAGGGAUAGUUGGGGGCAUUAAUAUUUAAUUGUCAGAGGUGAAAUUCUUGGAUUUAUGAAAGAUUAACUUCUGCGAAAGCAUCUGCCAAGGAUGUUUUCAUUAAUCAAGAACGAAAGUUAGGGGAUCGAAGACGAUCAGAUACCGUCGUAGUCUUAACCAUAAACGAUGCCGACCAGCGAUUAGGAGACGUUGAAUACAAAACACCACCAUCGGCGCGGUCGUCCUUGGCGUCGGUCCUUCACGGGGCCGGCGCGAGGGCGGCUAGCCCU